rnacentral:rRNA from 1 species
GAUUAAGCCAUGCAUGUGUAAGUAUAAAUAUUCUACUUUGAAACUGCGAAUGGCUCAUUAUAUCAGUUAUAGUUUAUUUGAUGAAAUGUACUACUUGGAUAACCGUAGUAAUUCUAGAGCUAAUACAUGAUCAAUUCCUCGACUUUGAAGAGGUGUAUUUAUUAGAAUGAAAACCAAUAGACUUUGUCUGUUUGUGAGUAAUAAUAACUUGUCAUAUCGCAGGCUUAGGUAGCGAUGUGUCUUUUAAGUUUCUGCCCUAUCAGCUUUCGAUGGUAGUGUAUUGGACUACCAUG